UCUGGCACUAUAGAAGAAGAAUU
rnacentral:piRNA from 1 species